AUCAAUAAGCGGAGGAAAAGAAAAUAACAAUGAUUUCCCUAGUAACGGCGAGUGAACAGGAAAAGCUCAAAGUUGGAACCUGCUUGACUUAGUCAAGCCGGAUUGUAAACUGUAGAAACGUUUUCUAGGCAAGCCGAGUUAAAAAGUCCUUUGGAACAGGGCAUCAUAGAGGGUGAGAAUCCCGUCUUUGACUUGAGCAUUUGUCUUUUAUGAUACGUUUUCAAAGAGUCAGGUUGUUUGGGAAUGCAGCCUAAAUUGGGUGGUAAAUCUCACCUAAAGCUAAAUAUUGACGAGAGACCGAUAGCGAACAAGUACCGUGAGGGAAAGAUGAAAAGAACUUUGAAAAGAGAGUUAAACAGUAUGUGAAAUUGUUAAAAGGGAACCGUUUGGAGCCAGAUUGGCUUGGCUGUAAUCAUUCUGGGCUUUGGCCUUGAUGCACUUGCAGUCUUUGCCUGCCAACGGCAGUUUUCUUCAAUAGGGAGAAAAUUGGUAGAAAUGUAGGUCAGGUUUCGGCUUGGCUGUUAUAGUCUAUCAAAUAAUACCUUGAAGGGGACUGAGGAUCGCAGUGAAUGCUUAGGCGGUAAUUUUAGUUUGUUAUUCUUGUUUAUGUUGGUAAAAUGACUAUGUUCGGGUAGUGUUAUCGAUGUAAGCGGAAGUACCAGGCUAUAUUUCUAAUUCACUUAGGUCGUUGGCUUAAUGACUCUAAAUGAC
rnacentral:rRNA from 1 species